rfam:Candidatus Regiella insecticola 5.15 Rin_2504560068.219, whole genome shotgun sequence.
GGUUUUCGACUUGCAGCUUGAUUUUAUAGGCUGAUGGCUGGUGACUCGUGGGUCAUCAGCUU